GCCGACGGGUCGGCCGACAGGUCCGGCCGCGACGGCUCGGCGCCGGCGGCGACGAGCAGGUCGCCGACGGCGGCGAUCAUCGCGCCGUUGUCAGUAC
rnacentral:tRNA from 1 species